rnacentral:tRNA from 1 species
GGGAUCGUGGCGCAGUUGGCUAGCGCGUAGGUCUCAUAGACUCAUCCCGAUGACAUGUCCCUAUCCUAAGGUCGUGAGUUCGAGCCUCACCGAUCCCA